rnacentral:rRNA from 1 species
AGCAGCCGCGGUAAUUCCAGCUCCAAUAGCGUAUAUUAAAGUUGUUGCAGUUAAAAAGCUCGUAGUUGAAUUUCGGGGCCAGUAGGUCGGUCGUGCCACUGGUAUGAACUGGUCUCACUGGUCCCUCCCUCUUGAAGAACCGUGAUGCCAUUAAUUUGGUGUUGCGGGGAAACAGGACUGUUACUUUGAAAAAUUAGAGUGCUUAAAGCAGGCUUACGCUUGAAUACAUUAGCAUGGAAUAACGAAAUAGGACGAUCGAUUCUAUUUUGUUGGUUUCUAGGAUCGACGUAAUGAUUAAUAGGGAUAGUUGGGGGCAUUAGUAUUCAAUUGUCAGAGGUGAAAUUCUUGGAUUUAUUGAAGACUAACUACUGCGAAAGCAUUUGCCAAGGAUGUUUUCAUUAAUCAAGAACGAAAGUUAAGGGAUCGAAGACGAUCAGAUACCGUCGUAGUCUUAACCGUAAACUAUGCCGACUAGGGAUCGGGAUGAAGUUAAUUUUUAAUGUACUCAUUCGGCGCCUUA